rnacentral:rRNA from 1 species
GACGAACGCUGGCGGCAGGCUUAACACAUGCAAGUCGAGCGGGCGUAGCAAUACGUCAGCGGCAGACGGGUGAGUAACGCGUGGGAACGUACCUUUUGGUUCGGAACAACACAGGGAAACUUGUGCUAAUACCGGAUAAGCCCUUACGGGGAAAGAUUUAUCGCCGAAAGAUCGGCCCGCGUCUGAUUAGCUAGUUGGUGAGGUAACGGCUCACCAAGGCGACGAUCAGUAGCUGGUCUGAGAGGAUGAUCAGCCACAUUGGGACUGAGACACGGCCCAGACUCCUACGGGAGGCAGCAGUGGGGAAUCUUGCGCAAUGGGCGAAAGCCUGACGCAGCCAUGCCGCGUGAAUGAUGAAGGUCUUAGGAUUGUAAAAUUCUUUCAGCGGGGACGAUAAUGACGUACCGCAGAAGAAGCCCCGCUAACUUCGUGCCAGCCGCCGCGGUAAC